rnacentral:rRNA from 2 species
CACCAGACUUGCCCUCCAAUUGUUCCUCGUUAAGGGAUUUAAAUUGUACUCAUUCCAAUUACAAGACCCAAAAGAGCCCUGUAUCAGUAUUUAUUGUCACUACCUCCCCGUGUCGGGAUUGGGUAAUUUGCGCGC